rnacentral:rRNA from 1 species
ACGGGAGGCAGCAGUGGGGGAUAUUGCACAAUGGGGGAAACCCUGAUGCAGCGACGCCGCGUGGAGGAAGAAGGUUUUCGGAUUGUAAACUCCUGUCGUAAGGGACGAUAAUGACGGUACCUUACAAGAAAGCCACGGCUAACUACGUGCCAGCAGCCGCGGUAAAACGUAGGUGGCAAGCGUUGUCCGGAAUUACUGGGUGUAAAGGGAGCGCAGGCGGGCUGUCAAGUUGGAAGUGAAAUCUAUGGGCUCAACCCAUAAAUUGCUUUCAAAACUGAUGGUCUUGAGUAGUGCAGAGGUAGGCGGAAUUCCCGGUGUAGCGGUGGAAUGCGUAGAUAUCGGGAGGAACACCAGUGGCGAAGGCGGCCUACUGGGCACCAACUGACGCUGAGGCUCGAAAGCAUGAGUAGCAAACAGGAUUAAUACCUGGUA